GGAAAGGCCCCAGCUUGCUGGGGUACUCGAGUGGCGAACGGGUGAGUAACACGUGGGUGAUCUGCCCUGCACUCUGGGAUAAGCCUGGGAAACUGGGUCUAAUACCGGAUAGGACCGUGCUUUAGUGUGUGCGGUGGAAAGUUUUUCGGUGCAGGAUGAGCCCGCGGCCUAUCAGCUUGUUGGUGGGGUAAUGGCCUACCAAGGCGGCGACGGGUAGCCGGCCUGAGAGGGUGUACGGCCACAUUGGGACUGAGACACGGCCCAGACUCCUACGGGAGGCAGCAGUGGGGAAUAUUGCACAAUGGGCGCAAGCCUGAUGCAGCGACGCCGCGUGGGGGAUGACGGCCUUCGGGUUGUAAACCCCUUUCGGCAGGGACGAAGCUUUUGUGACGGUACCUGCAUAAGAAGCACCGGCUAACUACGU
rnacentral:rRNA from 1 species